GAUGAACGCUGGCGGCGUGCUUAACACAUGCAAGUCGAACGAAGCACUUUAUUUGAUUUCCUUCGGGACUGAUUAUUUUGUGACUGAGUGGCGGACGGGUUAGUAACGCGUGGGUAACCUGCCUUGUACAGGGGGAUAACAGUUGGAAACGGCUGCUAAUACCGCAUAAGCGCACAGCAUCGCAUGAUGCAGUGUGAAAAACUCCGGUGGUAUAAGAUGGACCCGCGUUGGAUUAGCUAGUUGGUGAGGUAACGGCCCACCAAGGCGACGAUCCAUAGCCGACCUGAGAGGGUGACCGGCCACAUUGGGACUGAGACACGGCCCAAACUCCUACGGGAGGCAGCAGUGGGGAAUAUUGCACAAUGGGCGAAAGCCUGAUGCAGCGACGCCGCGUGAGCGAAGAAGUAUUUCGGUAUGUAAAGCUCUAUCAGCAGGGAAGAUAAUGACGGUACCUGACUAAGAAGCACCGGCUAAAUACGUG
rnacentral:rRNA from 1 species